rnacentral:rRNA from 1 species
GCAGGAUGACUGCCCUAUGGGUUGUAAACUGCUUUUGUCAGGGAAUAAACCUUUCUACGUGUAGGAAGCUGAAUGUACCUGAAGAAUAAGGAUCGGCUAACUCCGUGCCAGCAGCCGCGGUAAUACGGAGGAUCCAAGCGUUAUCCGGAUUUAUUGGGUUUAAAGGGUGCGUAGGCGGUCCUAUAAGUCAGUGGUGAAAGACGGCAGCUUAACUGUCGCAGUGCCUUUGAUACUGUAGGACUUGAAUCUAUUUGAAGUGGGCGGAAUAAGACAAGUAGCGGUGAAAUGCAUAGAUAUGUCUUAGAACUCCGAUUGCGAAGGCAGCUCACUAAGUUAGUAUUGACGCUGAUGCACGAAAGCGUGGGGAUCAAACAGGAUUAGAUACCCUGGUAGUCCACGCCCUAAACGAUGAUAACUCGAUGUUUGCGAUACACAGUAAGCGUCCAAGCGAAAGCGUUA